rnacentral:rRNA from 1 species
GACGAACGCUGGCGGCGUGCUUAACACAUGCAAGUCGAACGGUGAUGCUCCAGCUUGCUGGAGUGGAUCAGUGGCGAACGGGUGAGUAACACGUGAGCAACCUGCCCCAGACUCUGGAAUAAGCGCUGGAAACGGCGUCUAAUACUGGAUACGAAACUGGCCCGCAUGGGCAUGGUUUGGAAAGUUUUUCGGUUUGGGAUGGGCUCGCGGCCUAUCAGCUUGUUGGUGAGGUAAUGGCUCACCAAGGCGACGACGGGUAGCCGGCCUGAGAGGGCGACCGGCCACACUGGGACUGCGACACGGCCCAGACUCCUACGGGAGGCAGCAGUGGGGAAUAUUGCACAAUGGGCGAAAGCCUGAUGCAGCGACGCCGCGUGAGGGAUGACGGCCUUCGGGUUGUAAACCUCUUUCAGCAGGGAAGAAGCGAAAGUGACGGUACCUGCAGAAGAAGCACCGGCUAACUACGUG